GAAAUGCGAUACGUAGUGUGAAUUGCAGAAUUCAGUGAAUCAUCGAAGUCUUGAACGCAUAUUGCGCUGGUGGUUCCACCCACCAGCAUGCCUGUUCGAGUGUCGAUUACAUCUCAAAAGAGACACACACACUCGUGUGUUCUCUAUUUGGAUCUGGGUGUCGAGUCGUUCACUUGACUCUGUCACCUGAAAAUCAUUGGGAGUUGUAAAUGAUCCAUCUUUUUUGGUCCCAAAUUGGUGUGCUUAACAUACCUCGUAUGAUAAUCACCAGUAGUAAGAUCAAAACUUUUUUUUAUAAAAGUGGAUGUGAUCUCCUCACGACUCUUUCAUAGGAAAAUAAACAUCCAAAACUUCGACCUCGAAUCAGGCAAGAAUACCCGCUGAACUUAA
rnacentral:misc_RNA from 1 species